GACGAACGCUGGCGGCGUGCUUAACACAUGCAAGUCGAGCGGAAAGGCCCUUCGGGGUACUCGAGCGGCGAACGGGUGAGUAACACGUGAGUAAUCUGCCCUUCACUCUGGGAUAGCCCUCCGAAAGGGGGAUUAAUACCGGAUAUGACACGUCCUCGCAUGGGGUGCGUGUGGAAACUUUUUUGGGUGGGGGACGUGCUCGCGGCCUAUCAGCUUGUUGGUGGGGUAAUGGCCUACCAAGGCUUCGACGGGUAGCCGGCCUGAGAGGGUGACCGGCCACACUGGGACUGAGACACGGCCCAGACUCCUACGGGAGGCAGCAGUGGGGAAUAUUGGACAAUGGGCGGAAGCCUGAUUCAGCAACGCCGCGUGAGGGAUGACGGCCUUCGGGUUGUAAACCUCUUUCAGCACCGACGAAGCGCAAGUGACGGUAGGUGCAGAAGAAGGACCGGCCAACUACGUGCCAGCCGCCGCGGUAACAC
rnacentral:rRNA from 1 species